CGCGCGCCGUGUUAAUGAGAGGAACUUGAUGGAUGCUAUAGAAAUGCUGGAUUUGCAGAUGGUUUGAAACUGAUAGAUGGAGCUGUCCCAGGGAUAAAAGAUGGCAGACAUGAACUGCACUCGCAGGAGAUCAAACCUGCUGUGCUGUCCUGUCAUCAUGUCCUUGGCCAUGACAUGAAAGGUUUCCUGAAGCUCACUGUUUCAGGUAAUUUACCUCAAGAGUAAGCUGUCAACCACAGGAGUGGCUUCAUUUGUACUCUUUACAAAUCUACGGGUGACGUCUCGGACACUACGUCCAUAUUUAAUACAGUCAAUGCAUAAAACACAUCAGCAGCAACACCUCAUUAAAGAGUUUUUUAAGCAUUAA